rnacentral:rRNA from 1 species
UGCCAGCCGCCGCGGUAAUACGGGGGAUGCAAGCGUUAUUCGGAAUCAUUGGGCGUAAAGGGCACGCAGGCGGUCUUGUCAGUCAGAUGUGAAAGUCGGCGGCUUAACUGCCGAAGUGCAUUUGAAACUGGUAAACUAGAGUAUGUUAGAGGUAAGCGGAAUUCGUGGUGUAGCGGUGGAAUGCGUAGAUAUCACGAGGAAGACCAAAGGCGAAGGCAGCUUACUGGGACAAAACUGACCCUCAGGGACGAAGGCUAAGGUAGCGAAAAGGAUUAGAUA